AGUGAACGCUGGCGGCAGGCCUAAUACAUGCAAGUCGAACGGCAGCACGGCAGAGCUUGCUCUGUGGGUGGCGAGUGGCGGACGGGUGAGGGAUACAUGGGAAUCUGCCCAGUCGUGGGGGAUAACGUAGGGAAACUUACGCUAAUACCGCAUGCGCCCUUCGGGGGAAAGCCGGGGACCUUCGGGCCUGGCGCGAUUGGAUGAGCCCAUGUCGGAUUAGCUAGUUGGCGGGGUAAUGGCCCACCAAGGCGACGAUCCGUAGCUGGUCUGAGAGGAUGAUCAGCCACACUGGAACUGAGACACGGUCCAGACUCCUACGGGAGGCAGCAGUAGGGAAUAUUGGACAAUGGGCGCAAGCCUGAUCCAGCCAUGCCGCGUGAGUGAAGAAGGCCCUCGGGUUGUAAAGCUCUUUUGUCCGGAAAGAAAAGCGCCGGGUUAAUACCCUGGUGUCCUGACGGUACCGGAAGAAUAAGCACCGGCUAACUUCGUG
rnacentral:rRNA from 1 species